rnacentral:rRNA from 1 species
CGAGUGGUGGGGACGAUUAUUUGGGCCUAAAGCGUCCGUAGCCGGCUCAGUAAGUCUUUCGUUAAAUCCAACGAUCCUAAUCGUUGGGCUGCGAGAGAUACUGUUGGGCUAGGGGGCGGGAGAAGCCGACGGUAUUCUUGGGGUAGGGGUGAAAUCCUAUAAUCCCAGGAGGACCACCAGUGGCGAAGGCGGUCGUGCCUAGAACGCGCCCGACGGUCAGGGACGAAAGCUGGGGGAGCGAAUCCGGAUUAGAUACCCGGGUAGUCCCAGCCGUAAACGAUGCAGGCUAGGUGUU